CGAACGCUGGCGGCGUGCCUAAUACAUGCAAGUCGAACGGUCUUUCUAUGGAAGCUUGCUUCCACUGAAAAGAUAGUGGCGAACGGGUGAGUAACACGUGGGUAAUCUGCCCAUAAGAGGGGGAUAACAUCCGGAAACGGGUGCUGAUACCGCAUAGUUUUCUUGAUCGCAUGAUCGGGAAAGGAAAGACGGCCUUUGUGCUGUCGCUUAUGGAUGGACCCGCGGCGUAUUAGUUAGUUGGUGAGGUAACGGCUCACCAAGACGAUGAUACGUAGCCGACCUGAGAGGGUGAUCGGCCACAUUGGGACUGAGACACGGCCCAAACUCCUACGGGAGGCAGCAGUAGGGAAUCUUCCGCAAUGGACGAAAGUCUGACGGAGCAACGCCGCGUGAGUGAAAGAAGGUUUUCGGAUCGUAAAACUCUGUUGUCAGAGAAGAACAAGUUGGAGAGUAACUGCUCCAGCCUUGACGGUAUCUGACCAGAAAGCCACGGCUAACUACGUGCCAGCCGCCGC
rnacentral:rRNA from 1 species